rnacentral:rRNA from 1 species
UACGUAGGGUGCGAGCGUUGUCCGGAAUUAUUGGGCGUAAAGGGCUCGUAGGCGGUCUGUCACGUCGGGAGUGAAAACGUCGGGGCUUAACCCCCGAGCCUGCUUCCGAUACGGGCAGACUAGAGGUAUGCAGGGGAGAACGGAAUUCCAGGUGUAGCGGUGAAAUGCGUAGAUAUCAGGAGGAACACCGGUGGCGAAGGCGGUUCUCUGGGCAUGUCCUGACGCUGAGGAGCGAAAGUGUGGGGAGCGAACAGG